rnacentral:lncRNA from 1 species
AGUCAGCCCGGCACAGCCCCUUUCCGGCCCUCAGGCCCCAUCCCCAGCCUGGAGUGACACAGCCCGCGCCCCGCCCUAUAUCUCCGCCCCCAGCCUGCAGCCUUAAGGGCACUCCUUGCCCCUCCCCGCCUCCAGGCCCCGCCCCAGGGCUCCCAGCUGCCGGGCCGCGAGCUUCCAGCUGCGGGACUUCCGGCCCCCUUUCUCGCAAGAUGGCGUCCGCUGCAGGGACCUACCAGUCUUGCUUUCCUCUCGCUCUGUUCAGGCAUAUCCUUGGCUCUGCUUUCUGACCAAUCUCAGCCUCAUGUGAUACACCAAUUUCUCUCUUGGUUAGCCUAGGCUUUUCAUAACAGAGUAUAAAACCAAGGACUUAGAACAAGGACUGGAUCUAAAUCCUUUCCCAAAGCAGUGUGAUCUUGACCUUCCGACCUUCCUGAGUUAAAAGCGAUUAAAAUGUAAAGCUAUAGCCCUGCGCUCGGUUUAGAAUGAGGCCAUGGUCGGUGACUGCUAGUAUUUCUCUAAGGAAACUAUGGGCAUAUCCCUCAGUGUACUUUAAAUGGAUAGUGGAAAACUUCCAGUUUCUUGAGGUGAAAGUGCCCUAGAUAUAGUGCUGCACUGUGGAGAACACCUUGGAAUAAGAUGGAAUUGUAUAACCCUAAGUGUGCUGCAACCCCAAAGUGUGCUGUGACUUUAAGAGUGCUGUAACCUAAGUAUAACACAAUAAUGAGUGAUGUGUAAUCAUAAGAUAUGAAAGUAAUGAAAGUAGAACCUUAAGUGGUAUGGAACUGAUAAGGGCGUACCCCCGAAAAUUGGGCAGAGUAUGCCCCAAGCUGGACAGUGUGAUAAGUCUGAACCAAUACCACGAACGCCCAGCUAGAAUAGUAUAAAAGGAGCUGAAGACCCCAAGCAAAUCGACGAUCCGUCCCACCAACCAGUCGACCAGUCAAUCUGAUGAUCUGACUACCGACCGAGACAUCUGCACUCCUGAUCCCGCUGGGAGGAGCAUCGCCGCCGACCAGACGAGACCAGAGGACGAGGCAAGCGGAGAGGCGGAUAGCCUAGCGCUGACUCGACGCCCUUCGUCUACGGAUUGGACCCUCUGACCCUGCGGGAGGAAACGUCGCACUCCCAUUAAGGACUUGCGCAGUACAGGACCAUGUCAUAAUGAUCACACUACUUUUGGAAGUGUGAUCUGGAAGCUUUCCCAGGAAUAACUGAAAGAGACUGAAGGAAAUUUGAAGAAGAAGGCUUAUCUGGCUCAGACUGGUUGAAACCAUGUCUAUCUGCAGGAAGAACAGGCAACAUUCUGAUGUCAGAGGGCAAAACCUGCCUUCAGAGGAAGAUGCUCAACAGCCCAUGGUGUGUAAGCCAAUGUCCACACUUUAUGAGCAGAGAGCUAAGAUGGACCCCGAGGGUGCUGGACACAACAGCAGGAAAUAGGGGUGAGGAGGAAAAACCGGACCAGGGAGAGCUGCCUGCUGUCUGGACACUCCUUGAAGGCCCUCGGGACUCCCCAGGCCCCAGGGGAAAGAUCCUGGAGCAUUACAGAUGAUGUGUGGAGGAGUUCUUUGGAGGUGCAGUGGCCAUCUUCUGACCAUAGAGGGCAAGCUUGAAGAUUAAAACCAAUGUGCUCAGGAUGAAGAUUUGGGAAUGUGGAAAGAGUCCAGUCCUCAGGAAGUCAUGGAGCCAUGGAAGUGCUAAGUAGGAGAAUGGGAACUCCUGAAUCUGAACCUCCUCCUUUGCAGCAAAACAGUCCCCAGGUUUCCAAGUGACUGUAGAAGAUUAGCAGGCAGAGCCAACCUGCAAAUGUGCUACCCCCAGACUUCUUAUUAUGGUUGAUUGUGAGUGUAGUCCACUUUUAGUUGAUCACUUGCAGCUACAAACAACCUAACAGACAUAGUGGGCAUGUUUAAAUAAAUCUCUUUUGUGUUUCUGUUUGCUAUUUUUAAGCCCUUGAUGUAGUGGGGAAAAAAGGUCUAUUAAGUCCUGACCCAACAUUUCGCAUAAAAUUGAACUCACUUAUGCACUUGAAUAGAAUGAAAAUGAUGAUUCAGUUAGCACAAAGCCAUGAAUCAUGAAAACUAAAUUAUUAUGGUAGCUUAUUUUACAUAAAAUCAGCUUUUGAUAGGAUAUAAAUUGAAAAGCACACAAUAUAAGUAGUAGAGGUAGAGGCUUUAAAAUAUCUAUGUUGAUGAUAGGAAAUGAAAUUAAAAUAUUUUGCAAGGAUUAUUCUCAAAGCACAUAACUGAGAACUGACUGAGUGUUGGCAACAAAGGAAAAUUUAUCUCCUGUUACAUGAUGUGGGACAUAACAUUCUUAUUAAGUAGAAUUGGAAUUUUCUGAAUCUCCUUUGCAACAAAACAGCUCCCAAGUUGCAAAUUGAAUCACAAGAUUAGUAGGCAGACUGAUGAGGAUUUAAUUUUUAAAAUAUGCUGUAAUGUUUGAUGUCUAAGAAGCAGCCAUAAAACUGAAGAAGUAAAGGACAGCUGAUGAUCUGCCCUGUCCUUGCUCCUGCUUGUUCUCUUUGCAUUCCCAGACUGUGUUGUUUGGAAGCAAAGCUCUGUUGUUUUCUGGUCAGAAGAUUGCACCUUUGUGCCUGUAGACAAGGUGAUGACAGCCCCGGUUCCAGGAACCCUUGCUCACAAGCCUUCUUUGUGCUGGGCGAGGAAGUUCUAGCUUGGGAUUGCAUGACAUCACCAUGCUCCCACCCACUUCUCUGGAUCCCUCAACUCACAGAGAGUCAUUGUUUGUGGCUUUCGAUCUGAACAGCUGCUGGCUUUUCCUGGCUUCAUCACUGUGAAGAUGGUGAUCGUGCAAUGCUGAUAUCAAGAGAUCUGUGCUGCAGUCGGCCAUGGAUCAGACCAUCAGCCCUGGGCUCUGUUUAGGAAAGUCUGAUCACCAUAGCUGUAGCACAAUGCCUCCCAGCUUCCCUAGCUGGUCAGAGGUUUCCCCCACACAUUUCAUUGUUUUGGGUGCCUUCUUAGGUCGGAUCUCAUCUCUGCCCAAUAAGCAAAAUUCCCCAUGUGUCUUUAGAAGGAUCCUUCUGAAAAGGGAUUUCAAUUUAGGUAAUACUAAAAUUAGGCAAAGUAAGUCAGGAGUCUAACUAUGAAAAGGUACCUAAUGAGAAUUCCAGCUUCACAAUAAAGUUCAAAAUUUUUUAAAAUGCAUGAAGUAUUGCAUUUAAACAGUUGAAUAGAACUUGUUUUGGACAAGCCACUGAAGGGAACACUGCAAAGCUAGCAUUCAGCUUUCAAGAUUAAAGAAGAGCAAAGAGCAACUUCAAAGCCCAUUGGGGAAUCUAUCAUGCUUCCCAAGGUGGCAAGGCAGGUAGUGGACUCACUGCUUCUUCUGACACUGGGGGCUUGGAUGCUGAGUCCAAGGGGCAUGCUUGAAUCUCCAGUAACUUCUGUGGUACUUGAUGGAGGUAGCCAGGUACACCAGAGGAGUUCAGGAGAUAUUCAUGGGCCUUACCUGGAUAACUCUUACCUGGAUCUAAUGUGUCUUCCACACUAGAUCAAUGCAUCUGUAACCAUCUUUCUGUCCAGAGCAGGAAAGCACGCCUGAAAUGCUGUGGAGGAUGUGUAUACUUGAGAUAAUUUUUCAGGAAUGUAGAGCUUUGAUUUCUCAGAUUUUCUUUUUAAAACUAUGAGCAAGAAUAAAAUAAAAUAUAGGAGAGGACAGACAAUCCUUGAGUGUAAGGAGAUGGAUAAUGGCUUGGGGCAGCUGAAUAAAUAAUGUAUAUUUAUCUGGCUCUCUUGACCUUACCCAAGCCUUUUUACAACUACCAGGUGUGUUAUGGACACAUUUUUCUAUGAAGUCAUCAAACUAAAUAGAGUGGAUCCUGAAUGACAAUCAAACCUCUAAAAAAGGAAAGCAAGAAGAAAAGCAUCACCAUCAUUUCCUCUCUGAGAUGUCCUUUGUCUUUGUCGUGGAAGCAUAGACUCAGGGGUGUGAGAUCAGAUUCGAGACUGUGCACUGUCACAUGGCAUUUUGUGCUUUCCGCCCAUCCUCAUUAUGGGCUGCUUGGGUUUGUCCUACACAAGUAACCCUGGUGCUCACUACACCCCAGGAACAAUUCAAUGAUGCUACCACAGUGUUUUGUACCUGGAAUGGGAAGGGCUCGGAAAAUGCUUGAUAAGUAAAUAAAGCAUGUUUUGUUUAAGCAAUAUUUAUGAACAGUGAAGCUUCCUCUUUAUGUUUUUUAGUUUCUUGGGUCAAGGAUUACAUCGCAAACACCCUUGUAACAUCUUAGUAUACAAACGUAGGCAUCCAUUUGUGGCUGCUGGUGGCUAAGGGAGUGGAGGAGGGCCACACUUCUGCAGGCCACAGGGGCCCAAACAUCUGUAUCACCAGCCUUGCCUACUUGGCAUCAGAAAUGGUCUCCCACUUCCUUUCCUGGUC